UGAAACUACUGUGCUGGAAAAGUCUGUAUUAAACUACUACUGCUCUCCUAUAUGUCAGGUGAAAAACAGUCCCAUCUCACCAUGCAGGCUCAGGAAACUCUCAGAAAGAUCGGGUAUGCUCUGUUACUAAUUUAUGUGCAUCUGACUCACUAAAACCAUUAAUACUUGCUGUGCAGUAGUAGGAAUUUUUAGUGUUUCCUUCAAAGAAGAAAACCUUCAAAAACCACAGUGGAUGAAAGAGGAUACAUAUAAUGUUGAUCUCAAUCUAGUUCUCUGCGGAGAAAUGCUGCUUUUGAGCCACUGAUAGCAGACUCUUGAAAUUCAUUGCAUCAGUAGCUACACCUCAGGGCCUGACAAUGACGCGUCAGCUGAGGAAGGCACACAACAAGAGACCCAGCAGUCUGAAGGAAAAUUGUUUCUGGAAGAGAACAGAAGGCUGUCAGCAGUCUCCAAGCCAACUGACAUGAGAUGUUACAGACCUGCACACAUCACGUAGCCACAGCAGCCCAUUCAGCGUAACCGAGAGUCUCUCUCCCCCCAACACAGGUUGUCAACUGUUCCUAUUCUGAAGGCCUUUCCCUGGUUCAUCUCACCACGAUCAAACUAAACUCGGCAAAAAGGAGGUGAGACCAUGCUGACAACAGUCACUGCAGGCUCUUUCCUGCAAGGACAGCAGCGUGUCACAAAGCCUGCAGGAGAUGACUACUUGGCUGAAGCCCAGCCCAAACAGUGCGGUCCUCACAGCAUUCACUGAACUGUUUCGCCUGCCAGCUUCUGGAAGCAUGUCCAGUCUACCAGUUCAGACCUGCAUUUCUGCUCAGGUGCAAUGCUUCUAUCCAAGAGAAAAUAACUCUACAGAUUUCAUAAGCAAAGUCCAGUCUCUCUACAUACUAAAGCACCCCUCCAGCACAACCACCAGCACAGUGGAACAGACUAGAAACAAAGAUAUCCUUCAUAUCUUCAGUGUCACAGCCAGCACCAAUGGGCUGGAGUUUCAUGGAUCCAGGAAAAUGGCACCAGGAUAGUUCCCCAAAAUAAAAAUAGGAUUAGAAAACUCCA
rnacentral:lncRNA from 1 species